UACGAAGGGGGCUAGCGUUGUUCGGAAUUACUGGGCGUAAAGCGCGUGUAGGCGGGUCUUUAAGUCAGGGGUGAAAUGCCAAGGCUCAACCUUGGAACUGCCUUUGAUACUGGAGACCUUGAGUCCGGGAGAGGUGAGUGGAAUUGCGAGUGUAGAGGUGAAAUUCGUAGAUAUUCGCAAGAACACCAGUGGCGAAGGCGGCUCACUGGCCCGGAACUGACGCUGAGACGCGAAAGCGUGGGGAGCAACAGG
rnacentral:rRNA from 1 species